AGUAUAUUUUUACUAUUUCUGUAAUCUUUUAUAUCAACGAAUGAAUCUGACACAUAGCACUAUUUGUCAUCCAUGGAUUCCAACGGUGAUGAGUCCUUGGCCUUCAUUUUGGAGUUGUCUCACAUAUCUCCAUCCCAAGAACAAAUCUUGGCCACUGCUCCAUUUGUCGGAGCAGAACAGGACACCGCCGCCUCCGCCUCCCAUGACAUUGACAUGCUGUCGUUGCCGGACUCCGUCCCCGAAGACGUAUUCCACACGCCACCGGAGGAGUCCUCGCUUCCCUCCUCCUCCUCCGACAACCAUUGCGUCGUUAAUUACGCCGUCGUCGACGUGGAUGAUGUGAAUGCUGGGACCGAUUUGGUGAAGGAUUCUGAGUUAGGGUUUUCGGAUGUUCACAUGGAAGAGGUUAACGGAGAGGACAUGGGAAAUUUAGAAACCCUUGUUGGGGAUGUGAGCAUUAGGGUGUCUGAAUCUGCUGAGGUAAGCAAGUCAAGUGAUGUGGCUGCGGAAUCGCGGGGGAAGAAGAGUAAGCAGGGUAAGAACAAAAGUGCCGUUUCUGGAGAGCAGAAGAAGACUGUUAAGGAAGCAGGGCCAGGGCUGCGUCGGGUGUUGCCACCCUCAAUUGCAGCGUCGACGUCGAUGACUGAAACGGGAAAUGGAAGAAGUGGGAACGGUCGGGGUGGGGAGAAAAGGAAAGCUUUUGAUGUUUUUGCUGUGCUUAAAGCUUUCUCAGAGUUAGAGAGCACUGUUGAAGAAAAUAACGAUCACCAUCUUACUCUGUUGGACGUGGCAAGAGCUCGUGGUGUUACCUUUCCUCGGCCAAGGUGGUGGCCGGAGGGGGAUAACUUUGACCCACCACCACCACAAUAGCGUGAGAAAAUGAAGGCAGAUGCUUUUUUUGUUUGAAAGGUGGUCUGAAUGGUGGUGGCCGGAUGCGGAUAACUUUGACCCACCACCACAAUAGUGUGAGGGAACGAAGACAGGCAUGGGCCUAGUCUGAAGAGGGAAUGCUCUAGCAGCUGCAACACGCAAUCCCCAAAAUUAGCUGAGGCUAUGACAAUGACAAUGAAAUGGACGACGGAAAACAAAAAGCUUGAGUAGGUCCUUCUGUAAGUGGUAAUAGAGUGGCAGACUCUCUAGCUUAUGAGUAUAGAGAUAGAUAUUAUUGGGUUGAGGAAACACCUUUCCAAUGCAAUGAAAUCCAAUAUCUUAGCCCGUGAAAGAUAUUUAGAGGCGUACCAUCACAUCUCAGCCAGUGAAUGAUAUUAUCAGCACGACUAAUCGUAGUUAAAAGAUCUUCUUUCGUGCUGAGGCGAUGUACAAGAAAAAUUGUUUGGUAAUUGGUUGGUAGGAUGGGAUUCACCUCCGCCACCCUGUUUUCUAGGGGGACUAGGAGCCAACCUAUGUGAUAUCUUCCCAAAUGUUUCAACGGGGUGUCAAGUUUUGCAUUUAGUGAAUACUUUGUAUAUUUAACAACUUGGGUAUAAAUACAUUUCUAUCAACAUUUUCUUUUGUUUGUUUGGGAAACAAAAAGGUGGGAAAGAGAAGGAAAGGAUGUAAACUAACAAUUUUGAUAAUUUUGCUAUUAAUUUAGUGUUUUACUCUUGAUCCA